CCUACGUGGAGCAGCAGUGGGGAAUAUUGGACAAUGGGCGAAAGCCUGAUCCAGCCAUGCCGCGUGUGUGAAGAAGGCCUUCGGGUUGUAAAGCACUUUCAGUGGGGAAGAAAGCCUUGGGGCUAAUACCCUCGAGGAAGGACAUCACCCACAGAAGAAGCACCGGCUAACUCCGUGCCAGCAGCCGCGGUAAUACGGAGGGUGCGAGCGUUAAUCGGAAUUACUGGGCGUAAAGCGCGCGUAGGCGGUCUGAUAAGCCGGUUGUGAAAGCCCCGGGCUCAACCUGGGAACGGCAUCCGGAACUGGCAGGCUAGAGUGCAGGAGAGGAAGGUAGAAUUCCCGGUGUAGCGGUGAAAUGCGUAGAGAUCGGGAGGAAUACCAGUGGCGAAGGCGGCCUUCUGGACUGACACUGACGCUGAGGUGCGAAAGCGUGGGUAGCAAACAGGAUUAGAUACCCCUGUAGUC
rnacentral:rRNA from 1 species